AGGGUUUGAUUCUGGCUCAGGACGAACGCUGGCGGCGUGCCUAACACAUGCAAGUCGAACGGAACUGUUUUGAAAGAUUUCUUCGGAAUGAAUUUGAUUUAGUUUAGUGGCGGACGGGUGAGUAACGCGUGAGUAACCUGCCUUCAAGAGGGGGAUAACAUUCUGAAAAGAAUGCUAAUACCGCAUGACAUAUCGGAACCACAUGGUUUUGAUAUCAAAGAUUUUAUCGCUUGAAGAUGGACUCGCGUCCGAUUAGUUAGUUGGUGAGGUAACGGCUCACCAAGACUGCGAUCGGUAGCCGGACUGAGAGGUUGAACGGCCACAUUGGGACUGAGACACGGCCCAG
rnacentral:rRNA from 1 species